rnacentral:rRNA from 1 species
UAGGGAAUAUUGGACAAUGGGGGCAACCCUGAUCCAGCCAUGCCGCGUGAGUGAAGAAGGCCCUCGGGUUGUAAAGCUCUUUUGUCCGGAAAGAAAAGCUUCGGGUCAAUACCCCGGGGUUCUGACGGUACCGGAAGAAUAAGCACCGGCUAACUUCGUGCCAGCAGCCGCGGUAAUACGAAGGGUGCAAGCGUUACUCGGAAUUACUGGGCGUAAAGCGUGCGUAGGUGGUUGUUUAAGUCUGAUGUGAAAGCCCUGGGCUCAACCUGGGAAUGGCAUUGGAAACUGGGCAGCUAGAGGGCGGUAGAGGGUAGUGGAAUUCCCGGUGUAGCAGUGAAAUGCGUAGAGAUCGGGAGCAACAUCUGUGGCGAAGGCGACUGCCUGGACCAGCACUGACACUGAGGCACGAAAGCGUGGGGAGCAAACA